rnacentral:rRNA from 1 species
AUACGAGUAGACGUGGUCCGCUGCAUGCUGACGCAUAACAGUAGUGGUCUUUAGCAAAGAAUCAUCCCGAUACUCGGUGGUUCAAGAACUCGUGGAACCGGAAAGUCUGAAUAGCUUUAAGGCCUAAUUGCGCUCCACUAGUUGAGUGCGUGGCACUACGGGGAAGGUCAGCACUCAGCGAAGUGCGGCAGAUCUAGCCAGGCGGUCACAAGUCUAAGCGGUAACGUCACACGAAGCACGUGGAGAACAACAGCAUCAACCUGUUGGGCCUAUACCCAUGUCGAACAGCGAGGAGAUCAUAUACAUUUGACACUAGUGAUCCACUCUCCUCCUCUGACCACAAGCGGGUUUCCAAUGAAGGCCGGUUGAAAUGUUCCAAGGCAAAUUAACUGCAAUUCCCAACAAGCCCGGACAUCCAUUAUACGCGGUGUUGUCCAUUAUUAGCGGGAUUGUUGGAUUAAGUACGGAAGUACGCCGAUUAACGUAGGAACUACAAAACGGACUUACACCUGCCCAGCGUCUAGUCGAGUAACCCGUCACCGGAGUCUGGAAUGGGACUGAUCGAGAGAAUGAUCACUUACGUAAUCUAAAUUGAGACACAUGCAAGCAUCCUGUCGUACGACCGAGACAACUGGACACAGAUAAACCGUAUCACCCUAACAGAUCAGUUAGGGUUCGCCCUUAUGUAACUACCUAACCCGCGGGAUCGCCAGUAAUCAAGUUGACGGGCCCCACGUGUCUUGUUAUCAACACCGAGACUACAGCUGAACUCGACACCAUGAGGCUCCCUCGGGAUUAAGUGUCUGUGUCUCACCUUCUAAGUGGUAAUCCCACGCCACCUGACUAUGCACAUCAUUGGCCCUAGUAUGCGUACAACGAGUAGUGGGAACUCAACUCUCCCUAUACUGGUACCCUCUCAUGACGAGCGGUACUGUCAUAGGACCUCAUAACGUGUCAAUCGUGGAAUCGCCGAAAACAAUAACCGAUGCCUGUCUAGGGGUCUCGCUAAAGCGCCGAUAGCGCUACCACGCCAAACAGACCGAGACAAUUCAGGCUGGCAGCCUGAUUGUGAUUAACUAGAUUAGCGUGAGGAGAUCCAGUACCUGAGUAUCGUGAGAACUGAGAUAGGUAAUCCUCGAUUGGGAAAGCAUGCACGCGGAGGGAUCCCGCGACACAUUUAUCGCGGGACCAUGAAUACAAUCGGUUUUCAACUGGCAGGAGGACAUAACGCAUAUU